GUCUUUUUGAAAAUAAUUUAAAGUCUAACCUGCCCACUGAAACUUAAAUGGCCGUGGUAUUUUGACCGUGCUAAGGUAGCAUAAUCAUUAGUUUUUUAAUUGAAAUCUGGAAUGAAGGGUUGAAUAAAAAAAAGACUGUCUCUUUUUAAUUUUUAUAGAAAUUUAUAUUUAAGUAAAAAAGCUUAAUUAAAUUUAAAAGACGAGAAGACCCUAUAGAGUUUUAUUAUCUAAAAACUAUUUAUUUUAGAAUUAAUAUAAAUAAUUAUAAAAUAAUUUAAUUGGGGUGAUUGAAAAAUUUAAUAAACUUUUUUUAUUUUGAACAUAAAUUAAUGAUUAUUUGAUCCAGAAUUUUUGAUUAUAAGAAAAAAUUACCUUAGGGAUAACAGCGUAAUUUUUUUAGAUAGUUCAUAUUAAAAAAAAAGAUUGCGACCUCGAUGUUGGAUUAAAAUUAAAAUUUGGUGUAGAAGCUAAAUAUUUAAGUCUGUUCGACUUUUAAAAUUUUACA
rnacentral:rRNA from 1 species